GAUGAACGCUGGCGGCGUGCCUAAUACAUGCAAGUCGAGCGAACAGACGAGGAGCUUGCUCCUCUGACGUUAGCGGCGGACGGGUGAGUAACACGUGGAUAACCUACCUAUAAGACUGGGAUAACUUCGGGAAACCGGAGCUAAUACCGGAUAAUAUAUUGAACCGCAUUGUUCAAUAGUUAAAGACGGUUUUGCUGUCGCUUAUAGCUUGAUCCGCCCCGCAUUAGCUAGUUGGUAAGGUAACGGCUUACCAAGGCAACGAUGCGUAGCCGACCUGAGAGGGUGAUCGGCCACACUGGAACUGAGACACAGUCCAGACUCCUACGGGAGGAAGCAGUAGGGAAUCUUACGCAAUGGGCGAAAGCCUGACGGAGCAACGCCGCGUGAGUGAUGAAGGUCUUCGGAUGGUAAAACUCUGUUAUUAGGGAAGAACAAAUGUGUAAGUAACUAUGCACGUAUUGACGGUACCUAAUCAGAAAGCCACGGCUAACUACGUG
rnacentral:rRNA from 1 species